CGGCGUGCGCCGCGGGAGGCCGAUUGCGAGUGACGAUGAGCAAUCGGAACGCGAUAAAAGGUACACACGAGAGCGGACCGGCAGAUGAUCGCGGCAAGGGCUUAGCGCCCUAGUGCUUAUUGGUAGAUGCUUUCCUAUUGCAUUAGUUGUUACCCUAUAUACUUGAGAGUAGAUGAUGUAUAGGUGUGAGGCUAUUUUGGAAAUGUAAACUUAAGUUUAUGCUUUGGAUGAAUGUAAAGCUAAGUUGAAAUUAAAUGUAUUAGAGUUGAAUGGAUGUAAUAGCUUAGUAUCUCUCUUUUAUUCA